rnacentral:rRNA from 1 species
AUUCAUGAUCCCUGGUGAGACAGCUCCCAUCUCGUUACGCCAUUCAUGCAGGUCGGUAUUUAACCGACAAGGAAUUUCGCUACCUUAGGACCGUUAUAGUUACGGCCGCCGUUUACUCGGGCUUCAAUUCAAAGCUUCGCAUUGCUGCUAACUAAUCCUCUUAACCUUCGAGCACCGGGCAGGCGUCACACCUUAUACUUCCUCUUACGAGUUUGCAAAGUGCUGUGUUUUUGGUAAACAGCCGGGAGGGACUCUUUGCUGAGACCUACUUGCGUAGGCACACCUUAUCGCGAACUUACGGUGCUAGUUUGCAGAGUUCCUUAACCAGAGUUCUUUCACGCGCCUUAGAAUACUCAUCUCAUCUACCUGUGUCGGUUUGCGGUACGGGCAACAUUAGCUAAACUUAGAGGCUUUUCUUGGCACGACGGCGUCAGUAGCACUCAUCUUGAUCCGAAGAUCGCAACAAGCUAUUCAAGUUUCGAAUACAAGAGCGGAUUUGCCAAUCUCUCAAUCUACACUUUUAAAUUAGCUAUUCCAUCAGCUAACGCUACUUAGCCCUAUGCGUCCCCCCCAUCGCACACUAAUGUUGGUAUGGGAAUAUUAACCCAUUUGCCAUCGACUACCCCUUUCGGACUUGUCUUAGGACCCGACUAACCCUACGAUGACGAGCAUCGCGUAGGAAACCUUAGACUUUCGGCGAAGUGGAUUCUCACCACUUUUAUCGCUACUCAUUCCUGCAUGCUCACUUCGCAUCGCUCCACCACUCCUUGCCGGUAUGGCUUCAACGCUGAUACGAACGCUCUUCUACCACUGUGCAUCAGCACAAUCUACAACUUCGGUGUCUAUCUUAGCCCCGUUAUAUUUUCUGCGCAAAAUCACUAGACCAGUGAGCUGUUACGCUUUCUUUAAAGGAUGGCUGCUUCUAAGCCAACCUCCUGGUUGUCUGAGUAACUUCACAUCAUUUUCCACUUAGAAUAGAACUUUGGGACCUUAGUUGGUAGUCUGGGUUGUUCCCCUUUUGACGAUUGAUUUUAUCACCCACCGCCUGACUCCCAAGAUACGGUAAUAGGUAUUCGAAGUUUGACAGGGGUUGGUACCGCGGUGAGCAGCCCUAGCCCAAUCAGAGCUCUACCCCCUAUUACUAUCACUUGAGGCUAUACCUAAAUAUAUUUCGAAGAGAACCAGCUAUCACCAAGUUUGUUUGGCCUUUCACCCCUAUCCACAGCUCAUCCCAACCCGUUUCAAUGGGUACGAGUUCAGUCCUCCACGAGCUAUUACACUCGCUUCAACUUGGCCAUGGAUAGAUCACUUGGCUUCGGGUCUGCAGCAUCUGACUAAACGCCCUUUCAGACUCGCUUUCGCUACGGCUUCGCGUGUGCUUAACCUUGCAGAAAC